GCCGACCUAGCUCAGUGGUAGAGCGCGUGCCUUUUAACCACGUGGCCGUGGGUUCGAUCCCCACGGUCGGCG
rnacentral:tRNA from 1 species